ACGUGCUUGAUUGAUUGUACCAAACAUGACAAUAGCAAGAAAUAUUUUAGCAAUUCAUACAGAAAAUUUUUAAUUUUUUUUGCUGUUUUGUCUGUUGUUCUGUCAAAUGUCAAAUUCACACGAACCUAUACGUCGUAGAUUGAAUUUUGAUCAAAAAUUUUUAUGACUUACCGGGAUAAGCUGAUGGAAUGGACUGUACAUCUCGUGAUGCUUGUAAUGUCCUUCUUCCAUCUGGCCGAAUAGAAACUUUUUCUAGUUUUACCGUCAAAAACCAAAUGAAACUUAUUUAGUUCCAUCCAUGAAACAAGAGCAAGGCCAUUCCUGUCGUUCUCCGCAUAAGACCACAAAUUGUGAUGACCAUUGAAAUCGCCAAUGUAAAGAGCUGGAUUUUCAGAUUUUCAGGCCAUUGGUCAUUAAGGGGUUUAUUAACGGUAAUAAUAAAAAUUCCAGCAAUUUUGACAGUGGGAAGAAAGAUGUUGUUUUCCUGUGUCCUGGCGAUGGACUGGUAGUCUUCGAAAUUCGAUUUACCAUAUGUUGCACAACCGGAAAAAGAUCUAUUUCUGACGAAGUAUGGUUUUCUUGACGAACGAUAGACAUCUAUUUGUUCCAUUAGAGCCAUUUUCGAUAAGAAUCACACUUGAACGAUAAAAUUUAUUCGUUCCCUUAGAGCCAUUUUCGACAAGAAAGUAUACUUAUCCUUUGAAAUUCCUUCUACACUGCUCAACAAUUGAAGUGGAUAUUGGGAAAUAUUCUAAAUUUUGGUACUUCGGUGUAUAUUAUAUAAAAAACACUAUCACAGUAAAUAAAUUAAUACUCACUCACACACAUAAUUAAAAACUGAAGAAAAUUGUCCGUGAAAUACCAGAAGUAAAGGUAAAACAGAAUAUGAAUAAAACCUAACAAAACUUAAAAGUUCUCAAAGUCAAAUUUUACACCCUUCCUUAAAAAAACUUAGUACCGUGUAGGUCCCCCCCUGGCUCUCAGCAGGGCUCUUACACGAUUGGAGAGACUCAUUAUUAAAUUAUUAAUAAAAUCUUGAGGUAUCGCCCCCAAAUGUCUUGCAAUGCAUUAGCCAGUUCUUGUAACGUUUCAGGAGGCUGCUGGAGCUGGUUUAAACGCCUAGACAUUUCGGCCCAAACAUGUUCAAUGCAGUUCAUGUCAGGCGAAC